rnacentral:snRNA from 1 species
GUGCUCGCUUUGGCAGCACAUAUGCUAAAAUUGGAACGAUACAGAGAAGAUAGCAGGCCCCUGCGCAAGGAUGACAUGCAAAUUCAUGAAGCAUUCCAUAUUUUU